GAUGGUGCGGUCGCUGAAUAACUGGAAUUCAACUGAGGUGCAGGAAUUCAGUCAUGCAGCUUGAAGAAUGAUCUUAAGGGUGGUACGUUACACUCAACCUUCAAUGAUUUCAGAGACUUGGAGAAAGGGGAACAGGACCUAUAUUUGAACCAUGAUGUCAUGCAGUUAUGUACAGCACAGGCACAUGCAUGGCUGGGAAGUGUCUAUGGGUUGAUUCCUUUGAGAAUUAUAUGGAGCUGACACGGCCGAAACCCACAAUGACCCAGACGAGGACAGAAGUUUGUCCUGAAAGAGUGGCUUCCAC